rnacentral:rRNA from 1 species
UACGUAGGCAGCGAGCGUUGUUCGGAAUUACUGGGCGUAAAGGGUGUGUAGGCGGUUGCUUAAGUUUGUUGUGAAAUCUCCCGGCUCAACCGGGAGGGUGCGCCGAAUACUGAGUGACUAGAGUGCGGGAGAGGAAGGUGGAAUUCCUGGUGUAGCGGUGAAAUGCGUAGAUAUCAGGAGGAACACCGGUGGUGUAGACGGCUUUCUGGACCGUAACUGACGCUGAGACACGAAAGCGUGGGUAGCAAACAGG